AUCCCAUCAUGCAUAUAUUUUUACAUAUACUGCUAAUAUUUUUUGAAUUAUUUUGUUAUUUUGAAAUAUUAUAACGAUUAAAUAUUCAAAAUAUAUAGGACGUUCAGAGAUUGGGCCGCCUGUGAAUGAACGUACGUACCUUUAAGUAAUGUAUUAACAUUAUAGAGCAAUUAAAUGAAAAUGUUACUCACUUGCUGUAUUAAUCUGCUAGUUAUUUUCUUAUUUGAACCAAAUUUAUGUGACGAUAUGGAUGAUCUUUACUGUAUCACCCGGUUUAAGCAAACUAGUAGCAUGCAGUAACAGGCUUUACUGUCGUUGUGGAAACAAGGACACCAAAGGGAUUUUCCAGAGGGAUUUUCCAAAAUCCAAAGGGGCUUUCCCGAGGGACUUUCCCUCGCGAACUCACCUGUUUUUGAUCGGCU